ACCCCAUAAUAUUUAGAAUGGCAUCAUUUUAAAUUGAAAACUCCGGUGGAUAGAGAUGGGCACGCGCAAGAUUAGAUAGUUGGUGAGGUAACGGCUCACCAAGUCUACGAUCUUUAGGGGGCCUGAGAGGGUGAUCCCCCACACUGGUACUGAGACACGGACCAGACUCCUACGGGAGGCAGCAGUGAGGAAUAUUGGACAAUGGGUGCAAGCCUGAUCCAGCCAUCCCGCGUGAAGGAUGACGGCCCUAUGGGUUGUAAACUUCUUUUGUAUAGGGAUAAACCUACUCUCGUGAGAGUAGCUGAAGGUACUAUACGAAUAAGCACCGGCUAACUCCGUGCCAGCAGCCGCGGUAAUACGGAGGGUGCAAGCGUUAUCCGGAUUUAUUGGGUUUAAAGGGUCCGUAGGCGGAUCUGUAAGUC
rnacentral:rRNA from 1 species